rnacentral:pre_miRNA from 1 species
UAAUAAUUUUCGGUUAGAUAUGUUUGAUAUUCUUGGUUGUUGUUUUACUAUCCUCACCCAGGAAUCAAACAUAUUAUUACUGAGAUUAUUG